AGUGCCCUCCCUGUGCCGUGGCCCCAGCCUCUUGCUCAGCCACACUGCCUGCCUGGUGCAGCCCAUGUGACGGGUCCGGCUCCGGGCCCUGCUGUCCCUGGCCCGGCUAUCCCGGUGGCUUUAGGCACCUUCUCCACACCUACCCAGAAAGAUGCCCGGAUGGAGCCUGCAGCUCCGUGGCUUUUCUGGGAAGCAGCGGCCCCUGCUCUCGAGAGACCCUGGCUCCUGAUGGUGGCCCCAAGGUUGGCAGCUGGUGCUAGGGACUCAGGACAGUUCCCCAGAACAGGCCAAGCGGGCAGCCCCUCCAGGGGCCAGGUGAGGAAGCUGGGGGGUGCGGAGGCCGCACUGGGUGCCUGAACCCCCUGCUUGGUUACAGUGCAGCUCCUCAAGUCCACGGACCUGGGCCGGCACAGCCUCCUGUACCUGAAGGAAAUCGGCCAUGGCUGGUUUGGGAAGGUGUUCCUGGGGGAGGUGAACUCUGGCGUCAGCAGUGCCCAGGUGGUGGUGAAGGAGCUGCAGGCCAGUGCCAGCGUGCAGGAGCAGAUGCAGUUCCUGGAGGAGGCGCAGCCCUACAGAGCCCUGAAGCACAGCAACCUGCUCCAGUGCCUGGCCCAGUGCGCCGAGGUGACGCCCUACCUGCUGGUGAUGGAGUUCUGCCCGCUGGCCAAGGGACUCCUUCUGCCCGGGGCUGGCUGAGGGGCAGUGGAAAGGAAGCUUUCAGUCCAGCCCAGCCCUGGGGGACACGGCCCCUCUCCAGGAACUGCUGGGUGCUGGCCACUGUGCAGGGCGUGGGGCUGCUCUGGGCAACUGCUGUCCCUCAGCUGGGGACCUCAAGGGCUACCUGCGGAGCUGCCGGGUGGCGGAGUCCAUGGCGCCCGACCCCCUGACCCUGCAGCGCAUGGCUUGUGAGGUGGCCUGUGGCAUCCUGCAUCUACAUC
rnacentral:sRNA from 1 species